rnacentral:misc_RNA from 1 species
AUUAUUGAUCUCAUUUAUUUACCUUCUCUCUCUCUCUCUCUCUCUCUCUCUCUCUCUCUCUCUCUCUAGGGAGUGGGGCGGAGUCAGCGGAACGUGGGGUGUUAAAGCGGGUGUCCACAAUAGUGGACAUGGAAUUUUCUUAAUGAAGGCGCGGCCAGAUUUGAUUAGUUUGUCGUCAAGUACAGUAAACUUGUCGUUUUCUUUCCUACAAUGCCAACAAACACUCUCUCUCUCUUACAUCAUUAGUGGUCAGUUAACGCUUAGUGCUAACUUUGACAGGAUCUCUGCCAGACACCGCAGCUCACCAGUCACCUCCACCACAAGUGUGGACCCCGCUACAGAGACCACCGCCACUCAUAAGCUUGAUCUAACAGCCACCACGCCACCACCGACCCCUCGAGUGUACGCAGCC